GAAAAUAAUUUAAAUAAUUGGAAGUUACCCCCUAUAUCGUCAAAUCUAAUAUAUAAGUCAAAUAAUAGUUUUAAAUUUAGGUCAGACUAUGUGAUAAAAACAGUUGAACAAGCCACUCCCAUCCAUGAAGGAUUAAGCUCAAGGAGUCUAUUCUCAGAAGAACUUCUAAAGAAACAUCAAAAGGAAUAUUCUUUCUUACAUAUAGGAAUGAUUCAAGUUGUUCUAAAACCUGCAACUAGACUAGGGUUAAAUACCUCAGCCUUGAUUUGUGUCAGAGAUAAACGACACAAUAACUUUAAUGAUUCCUUAUUAGGAAUAGUAGAAUC
rnacentral:misc_RNA from 1 species